rnacentral:rRNA from 1 species
GACGAACGCUGGCGGCGUGCUUAACACAUGCAAGUCGAACGGAAAGGCCUCUUUCGGGGGGUACUCGAGUGGCGAACGGGUGAGUAACACGUGAGUAACCUGCCCUUGACUUUGGGAUAACUUCAGGAAACUGGGGCUAAUACCGGAUAGGAGCUCCUGCUGCAUGGUGGGGGUUGGAAAGUUUCGGCGGUUGGGGAUGGACUCGCGGCUUAUCAGCUUGUUGGUGGGGUAGUGGCUUACCAAGGCUUUGACGGGUAGCCGGCCUGGGAGGGUGACCGGCCACAUUGGGACUGAGAUACGGCCCAGACUCCUACGGGAGGCAGAAGUGGGGAAUAUUGCACAAUGGGAGGAAGCCUGAUGCAGCAACGCCGUGUGCGGGAUGACGGCCUUCGGGUUGUAAACCGCUUUCGCUCAUGACGAAGCUUUGUGUGACGGUAGUGGGUAAAGAAGCACCGGCUAACUACGUG